CCUACGGGUGGCAGCAGUGGGGAAUAUUGGGCAAUGGGCGCAAGCCUGACCCAGCAACGCCGCGUGAAGGAAGAAGGCUUUCGGGUUGUAAACUUCUUUUAAGAGGGAAGAGAAGAAGACGGUACCUCUUGAAUAAGCCACGGCCAACGACGUGCCAGCAGCCGGGGUAAUACGUAGGUGGCAAGCGUUGUCCGGAUUUACUGGGUGUAAAGGGCGUGGAGACGGGAGGACAAGUCUGAUGUGAAAUCCCGGGGCUCAACCGCGGAACUGCAUUUGAAACUGUCGGUCUUGAGUGCCGGAGAGGUAAGCGGAAUGCCUAGUGUAGCGGUGAAAUGCGUAGAUAUAAGGAAGAACACCAGUGGCGAAGGCGGAUGACUGGACGGCAACUGACGGUGAGGCGCGAAAGCGUGGGGAGCAAACAGGAUUAGAUACCCCGGUAGUC
rnacentral:rRNA from 1 species